ACAACUCUUAGCGGUGGAUCACUCGGCUCGUG
rnacentral:rRNA from 1 species